rnacentral:rRNA from 1 species
CCUACGGGUGGCAGCAGUGAGGAAUAUUGGUCAAUGGGCGAGAGCCUGAACCAGCCAAGUAGCGUGAAGGAUGACGGCCCUAUGGGUUGUAAACUGCUUUUAUACGGGAAUAACGCGCCUUACGUGUGGGGCUUUGCAUGUACCGUAUGAAUAAGGACCGGCUAAUUCCGUGCCAGCAGCCGCGGUAAUACGGAGGAUCCGGGCGUUAUCCGGAUUUAUUGGGUUUAAAGGGAGCGUAGGCUGCAUGUCAAGCGAGCUGUGAAAGAUCCGGGCUCAACCCGGGCCUUGCAGCGCGAACUGGCGGGCUUGAGUGCGCGGGAGGCAGGCGGAAUUCGUGGUGUAGCGGUGAAAUGCUUAGAUAUGACGAAGAACCCCGAUUGCGAAGGCAGCUUGCUGCAGCGGAACUGACGCUGAGGCUCGAAAGCGCGGGUAUCGAACAGGAUUAGAUACCCGAGUAGUC